GCUAAACAGCUAGCUUAAUUACCUAAAAAAUUAAAACAACAUUAAAACACUUAACAAAACCACAACACAUAAAACUAAAACAUUCUCCCGCCUAAGUAUGUGAGACAGAAAAGGCAAACACUAAGCUACAAAAACAGUACCGCAAGGGAACGCUGAAAGAGAAAUGAAACAAAUCAUUAAAGCACAACAAAGCAGAGACUAACCCUCGUACCUUUUGCAUCAUGAUUUAGCCAGCCCCCCUGAGCAAAGCGCACUUUAGUUCAAAGCCCCGAAACUAAGUGAGCUACCCCGAGACAGCCUAUCAAUUAGGGCCAACCCAUCUCUGUGGCAAAAGAGUGGGAAGAGCUCCGGGUAGAGGUGAUAAGCCUACCGAACUUAGUUAUAGCUGGUUGCCUAAGAAAUGAAUAAAAGUUCAGCCUCGCACUCCUUACCUCACAAGCACUUAAAACCACACGAGCCAAAGAAACAUGCGAGAGUUAGUCAAAGGGGGUACAGCCCCUUUGAAACAGGACACAACCUUAACAGGAGGUUAAAGAUUACACUAAACAAGAUACGCCGCUUUAGUGGGCCUAAAAGCAGCCACCUAGACAGAUAGCGUUAAAGCUCCAGCGGACAAAAAAUCUAUUAUCCAAAUAAUUUAUCUAAAACCCCUAACAGUAUUAGGCCGCCCCAUGCCUACAUGGAAGAGACACUGCUAAAAUGAGUAAUAAGAAGGAACCCCCUUCUCCUAGCCUACGUGUAUAUUAGAUCGGACCCCCCCACUAAUAAUUACCGAACCCAACCAAAGAGGGCAAUGUGACCACAUUAAACAACAAGAAAACAUCACAUUACCAAGUCGUUAACCCCACACCGGAAGGCCAAUUAAGGAAAGACUAAAAGAAAAGGAAGGAACUCGGCAAACCCAAGCCUCGCCUGUUUACCAAAAACAUCGCCUCCUGCAAAAAUCAAUGUAUAGGAGGUCCUACCUGCCCAGUGACAAGUUAAACGGCCGCGGUAUUUUGACCGUGCGAAGGUAGCGCAAUCACUUGUCUUUUAAAUGAAGACCUGUAUGAAUGGUGGAACGAGGGCUUAACUGUCUCCCUUCUCCAGUCAAUGAAAUUGAUCUGCCCGUGCAGAAGCGGACAUAUUAAUACAAGACGAGAAGACCCUUUGGAGCUUAAGAUAAAAGACCAACUAUGUCAAGAAGCUAAAAAAUAUAGCUUAAACUAAAUAGCGACUUGAUCCUUAUCUUCAGUUGGGGCGACUGCGGAAGAAAACAAAGCUUCCACGAGGAUUGGGACUAAUAUCCUAAAACCAAGAAAGACACUUCUAAGCCACAGAACAUCUGACCAUCUAAGAUCCGGCCACCAGCCGAUCAGCGGACCAAGUUACCCUAGGGAUAACAGCGCAAUCCCCUUUCAGAGUUCAUAUCGACAAGGGGGUUUACGACCUCGAUGUUGGAUCAGGACAUCCUAAUGGUGCAGCCGCUAUUAAGGGUUCGUUUGUUCAACGAUUAAAGUCCUACGUGAUCUGAGUUCAGACCGGAGCAAUCCAGGUCAGUUUCUAUCUGUAACGCCACUCUUCCCAGUACGAAAGGACCGGAAAAGGGGGGCCCCUGUCAUAAACACGCCCCAUCCCAACUUAAUGACAACAACUAAAUUAAAUAAAGGGAAGGCACAACCCCACAUCUAGACAAGAUU
rnacentral:rRNA from 1 species